UAUAGUAUUUAAUACUGUAUUGCUCUACAG
rnacentral:piRNA from 1 species